AUUAAAUUGAAGAGUUUGAUCAUGGCUCAGAUUGAACGCUGGCGGUAGGUUUUAUCCAUGCAAGUCGAGCGGUAACAGACAUUUUGAUUCAGCUUGCUGAAUCUUGUGCUGACGAGCGGCGAACUGGUGAGUAACGCGUAGGAAUCUACCCAGUAGCGGGGGAUAGCCCGAGGAAACUCGGAUUAAUACCGCAUACGCCCUAAGGGGGAAAGGGGGCAUCUUUGAUGCUCUUACUAUUGGAGGAGCCUGCGUAAGAUUAGCUUGUUGGUAGGGUAAAGGCCUACCAAGGCGACGAUCUUUAGCUGGUCUGAGAGGACGAUCAGCCACAUUGGGACUGAGACACGGCCCAGACGUCUACGGACGGCAGCAGGAGAGAAUAUUGGACAAUGAGGGAAACCUUGAUCCAGCCAUACCGCGUGUGUGAAGAAGGCCUUAGGGUUGUAAAGCACUUUAAGCGAUGAAGAAGAAAAGUAAGUUAAUACCUUAUUUUUUUGACGUUACUCGCAGAAUAAGUACCGGCUAACUCCGUGCCAGCAGCCGCGGUAAUACGGAGGGUACAAGCGUUAAUCGGAAUUACUGGGCGUAAAGCGCGCGUAGGCGGUUAAGUAAGUUGGAUGUGAAAGCCCUGGGCUCAACCUAGGAACUGCAUUCAAAACUAUUUAACUAGAGUACGAGAGAGGAGAGUAGAAUUUCUGGUGUAGCGGUGAAAUGCGUAGAUAUCAGAAGGAAUACCAAUGGCGAAGGCAGCUCUCUGGAUCGUCACUGACGCUAAGGUGCGAAAGCGUGGGUAGCAAACAGGAUUAGAUACCCUGGUAGUCCACGCCGU
rnacentral:rRNA from 1 species